CGGCUAGAGGUGUGAGGAUCUGGCUCCAGGGUUGGGGGGUGGAGGCGGCUCCUGCGAUCGAAAGGGACUUGAGACUCACCGGCCGCACGCCAUGAGGGCCCUGUGGGUGCUGGGCCUCUGCUGCGUCCUGC
ensembl:miRNA